CCUACGGGAGGCAGCAGUGGGGAAUAUUGCACAAUGGGCGCAAGCCUGAUGCAGCAACGCCGCGUGAGGGACGAAGGCCUUCGGGUUGUAAACCUCUUUUAGUAGGGAAGAAGCGAAAGUGACGGUACCUGCAGAAAAAAGCACCGGCUAACUACGUGCCAGCAGCCGCGGUAAUACGUAGGGUGCAAGCGUUAUCCGGAAUUAUUGGGCGUAAAGAGCUCGUAGGCGGUUUGUCGCGUCUGCUGUGAAAACUGGAGGCUCAACCUCCAGCCUGCAGUGGGUACGGGCAAACUAGAGUGCGGUAGGGGAGAUUGGAAUUCCUGGUGUAGCGGUGGAAUGCGCAGAUAUCAGGAGGAACACCGAUGGCGAAGGCAGAUCUCUGGGCCGUAACUGACGCUGAGGAGCGAAAGCAUGGGGAGCGAACAGGAUUAGAUACCCUGGUAGUCCAUGCCGUAAACGUUGGGAACUAGAUGUGGGGGCCAUUCCACGGCUUCCGUGUCGCAGCUAACGCAUUAAGUUCCCGCCUGGGGAGUCGGCCGCAAGGCAAAACUUACGAAAGUAGUAGCGUUGUGAGAGCGACGACGACGACGACGGAGGAGGAG
rnacentral:rRNA from 1 species